AUAGCCGCAUCGACGAGUCGUGCGCGCGCGCGUUUUCAAAUUUUCACUCGAAUUGUAUAGAUGUAUCGUAAUCGUUGUUUUGAAUGUAAACUAACGAGGUUUUUACCAUUUUUUACUAUCGUUAUGACGAUAAUAAUUGGUCAGCCAAGAAUUGCGCGUUCGGUUUAAUUGAGCGCUUCGAUGGGAUUUUUUUUCCAUCUAAAUUAAAAACGCAACACUCGCACAGUGAUCAGAUUAUUAUGUAAUAUCUGUGAGGUUUAUACGUAAAAGUAUACGUACACCCGUACCCACAUGUAUACGUAUUUCGGUUAUCUACUCGUUAUGUGUUCUAUCAUUAUUACAUACGGUAGUACAUGGGACAGUUCGAUAAAAUAGUGCACAUACCCAAUAUCUGGACGUCGAAUAAUAAUUCGGUGCACCGCCGAUUAAUUGAGUUUUUUUUUUUUGUGACUAACUAUCGACAAACGUCGUACCAAUGGACCGAAGAUAUCCCAAAGUGUGAUCGCAUAUUCCGAUCGUGAUAUUUUAGUUCGUCGCUGAGAGGACGUAUAAAAUUUGACACGUAAGAGGAUAUUACGCGAGGUUCGAGAAAAAAAAAAAAAAACUCGAAGAAAGAAGAAAAAUAACGAGACGAUCGUACGGAUGUCGCGUGUAUAAUCUGUACAUCCGCAGACGUAUAUAGGAAAAAGGAAAGAAAUUAAAACAAUAAAAACCAUGUGCUCGUGCAGCGGAGAAGAAUUACCAGGUGUGUGUGUGUGUGAAGUGUUUGGUUGGUGCUAAUAGCUACUACUAUAUUUGAUAAUAUUAUAAUAGUGAUAAUAAAAGAUAUUUCGAUAAACUUGUUAUCGUCGUCACGCGCGUUUUAUCUCGCGGCUGGAUUGCUUUCUUCGAGAUAAUAUAGAAGAUCGCAAUACGCUAUAUUUAUACGUCAGCUGUUCAGGACGUACACGUCACAUAACGAAGAAACGAGGAUUAUCACGUUAUACGUACAAAUAGAUUGCAAAUUCGCGUUUCGGAGGGGAAAAGAAAAAAA
rnacentral:lncRNA from 1 species